GCGUCUAUGGUUCAGGGGUAGAAUUGGUCGUUGCCAAAGUGCAUCUUCGACUAGGCCGGGGUUCGAGUCCCCGUGGACGCA